rnacentral:misc_RNA from 1 species
UUUCCGUAGGUGAACCUGCGGAAGGAUCAUUAAUGAGUUGUCAUGGGGUUCGAUGCUGGCAGCAAAUUUUUGCAUGCAUUUGCUUGCCCUAACUAUUUUCUUCCAAUCACUCCUGUACUUCUUUUAGGUAGUCUUGAUUUGGUUUCCGCUUUUGGGUGAUUUUCUAACAUUCCCUUAAUUCAUUAUCCGCUAUUAACAAUGUUGAACGUGCUCUGGGCCGCAAGGCUAUUAAUAUAAUACAACUUUUAACAACGGAUCUCUUGGCUCUC